AGAGUUUGAUUAUGGCUCAGGAUGAACGCUAGCGGCAGGCUUAACACAUGCAAGUCGAGGGGCAGCGUGGGGGUAGCAAUACUCCCGACGGCGACCGGCGCACGGGUGAGUAACGCGUAUGCAACCUUUCCCAGACAGGGGGAUAGCCCAGGGAAACUUGGAUUAAUACCCCGUAGGCCACGGAUGGGCAUCCGUCUGUGGUUAAAGUUCCGGCGGUCUGGGGGUGGGCAUGCGUGCCAUUAGCUGGUUGGUGGGGUAACGGCCCACCAAGGCGACGAUGGCUACGGGGUCUAAAAGGAUGGUCCCGCACAUUGGAACUGAGACACGGUCCAAACUCCUACGGGAGGCAGCAGUGAGGAAUAUUGGUCAAUGGGGGUAACCCUGAACCAGCCAUGCCGCGUGGAGGAAGACGGCCCUACGGGUUGUAAACUCCUUUAGCACGGGAAUAAACUCGGCCACGCGUGGCCGACUGAAGGUACCGUGAGAAUAAGCAUCGGCUAACUCCGUGCCAGCAGCAGC
rnacentral:rRNA from 1 species